GCUCCUACCGAUUGGAUGACUCGGUGAAAUUAUCGGACCUUGCGAGGAAAGGUAAUUAAAUCACGUUAUCUAGAGGAAGGAGAAGUCGUAACAAGGUAACG
rnacentral:rRNA from 2 species